UCAGUGAUGCGAGCUCAGAGAGAGAGAGAGAAUUCUUUUGGUGAUUUUCUGGAGAUUCAAGGAACGAUGAUGAAGAUGGAGAGUAAAUUUUGGGAGAGUAAGAAGAGAGAAUAAUGAAGAUUGAGGCGUGAAGAAGAGAGGAGUUAAAGUUUUAUUGCAAAAUUGACGAAGAUCGGCCCUGCGAUGAAAGUGAUGAAUGUUGAAGCUACAUGGAGAUGCGCUGAAGAUUUGCAAUGGAGAAUUGAAGAGUGCGGAGGGAGAGAAUUUUCUAUGGAUUCUGAUGGUUCUUCUUCUGUGAAUUUUCUGAAUGAAAUCUAUCCCCUGAUAUCUGGUUGAUAACAUUGUAGCAACUGGUAGGAAAGUAUGCAU